UUAGAGUUUGAUCCUGGCUCAGGAUGAACGCUAGCUACAGGCUUAACACAUGCAAGUCGAGGGGAAACGGCAUUUAGUGCUUGCACUGAAUGGACGUCGACCGGCGCACGGGUGAGUAACGCGUAUCCAACCUACCCAUUACUGUGGGAUAACCUGCCGAAAGGCAGACUAAUACCGCAUAGUCUUCGAUGACGGCAUCAGAUUUGAAGUAAAGAUUUAUCGGUAAUGGAUGGGGAUGCGUCUGAUUAGCUUGUUGGCGGGGUAACGGCCCACCAAGGCAACGAUCAGUAGGGGUUCUGAGAGGAAGGUCCCCCACAUUGGAACUGAGACACGGUCCAAACUCCUACGGGAGGCAGCAGUGAGGAAUAUUGGUCAAUGGACGAGAGUCUGAACCAGCCAAGUAGCGUGCAGGAUGGCGGCCCUAUGGGUUGUAAACUGCUUUUGUAUGGGGAUAAAGUCAAUCACGUGUGAUUGUUUGCAGGUACCAUACGAAUAAGGACCGGCUAAUUCCGUGCCAGCAGCCGCGGUAAUACGGAAGGUCCGGGCGUUAUCCGGAUUUAUUGGGUUUAAAGGGAGCGUAGGCCGGAGAUUAAGUGUGUUGUGAAAUGUAGACGCUCAACGUCUGACUUGCAGCGCAUACUGGUUUCCUUGAGUACGCACAACGUUGGCGGAAUUCGUCGUGUAGCGGUGAAAUGCUUAGAUAUGACGAAGAACUCCGAUUGCGAAGGCAGCUGACGGGAGCGCAACUGACGCUUAAGCUCGAAGGUGCGGGUAUCGAACAGGAUUAGAUACCCUGGUAGUCCGCACAGUAAAC
rnacentral:rRNA from 1 species